rnacentral:rRNA from 1 species
UGCCCAGUGACAUUGUUCAACGGCCGCGGUAUCCUAACCGUGCGAAGGUAGCGUAAUCACUUGUUCUUUAAAUGAGGACUAGUAUGAAAGGCAUCACGAGAGUCAUACUGUCUCCUUUCUCUAAUCAGUGAAACUAAUCCCCCCGUGAAGAAGCGGGGAUAGAAAUAUAAGACGAGAAGACCCUAUGGAGCUUUAAACAUAUGAUAUAUACCCUUUUAACUUCAAAUUUCAGAAAAAUCUCCUAUUUUGGUAUAAUAACUAAUAGUUUUUGGUUGGGGUGACCACGGAAUAAAAAACAACUUCCACAAUGAAAGAUUCUCCUUCACUAAGUUAAGGACUACAGCCCUAUACAUCAAUAAAUUGACAUAAUUGACCCAACAUAUUGAUCAAUGAACCAAGUUACCCUAGGGAUAACAGCGCAAUCCACUUUAAGAGCUCUUAUCGACAAGUGGGCUUACGACCUCGAUGUUGGAUCAGG